rnacentral:rRNA from 1 species
AUUGAACGCUGGCGGCAGGCCUAACACAUGCAAGUCGAACGAGUGGCGGACGGGUGAGUAAUGUCUGGGAAACUGCCUGAUGGAGGGGGAUAACUACUGGAAACGGUAGCUAAUACCGCAUACCAUCGGAUGUGCCCAGAUGGGAGUAGCUUGUUGGUGGGGUAACGGCUCACCAAGGCGACGAUCCCUAGCUGGUCUGAGAGGAUGACCAGCCAAACAGGAACUGAAACACGGUCCAGACGCCUACGGAAGGCAGCAGUGGGGAGUAUUGCACAAUGGGCGCAAGCCUGAUGCAGCCAGGCCGCGUGUAUGAAGAAGGCCUUCGGGUUGUAAAGUACGUUCGGCGGGGAGACGUUACCCGCAAAAGAAGCACCGGCUAACUCCGUGCCAGCAGCCGCGGUAAUAC